AACAGCCCAGACCCACAGCUAAGGUCCCAAAUGUAUGCUAAGUGGAAAACGAUGUGGAGUUGCGAAAACAACCAGGAUGUUGGCUUAGAAGCAGCCACUCAUUAAAAGAGUGCGUAAUAGCUCACUGGUCGAGUGACUCUGCGCGGAAAAUGUAACGGGGCUAAGCAUCUAACCGAAGCUUAGGAUUGUCGUAAGACAGUGGUAGGGGAGCGUUCCAUGUGGGGUGAAGUCGCAGCGGAAGCAGCGGUGGACUGCAUGGAAGUGAGAAUGCCGGAAUGAGUAGCGAGAAUUAUGUGGGAAUCAUAAUGGCCGAAAAUCUAAGGUUUCUUGGGGAAGGUUCGUCCGCCCAAGGUAAGCCGGGAGCUAAGGCGAGGCCGAAAGGCGUAGUCGAUGCACAUACGGUAGAAAUUCCGUAGCCACCGAACUUUAAGUCAGAGGGACACUUUUGGAUAGCGGAACCCGGGCGUUGGUUGACCCGGGCGAAAGGGAGCGAAAAUAUAGUAGCGAAGUCCGCGAUGCUGAGAGGCGAGAAAAGCUCUGAUGGAUACUAAGGUGCCCGUACCGCAAACCGACACAGGUAGAUGAGGAGAGAAUCCUAAGGCCAACGGGAGAAGGGUUGUUAAGGAACUCGGCAAGUUGACCCCGUAACUUCGGAAUAAGGGGAGCCUCGCAAGAGGCCGCAGUGAAAAGGCCCAAGCAACUGUUUACCAAAAACACAGGUCUAUGCUAAAUCGAAAGAUGACGUAUAUGGGCUGACGCCUGCCCGGUGCCGGAAGGUUAAGAGGAGAUGUCAGCGCAAGCGAAGCAUUGAAUUGAAGCCCCGGUAAACGGCGGCCGUAACUAUAACGGUCCUAAGGUAGCGAAAUUCCUUGUCAGGUAAGUUCUGACCCGCACGAAAGGCGUAAUGAUUUGGGCACUGUCUCAACAGCCCGCCCGGCGAAAUUGUAGUACUGGUGAAGAUACCAGUUACCCGCAACUAGACGGAAAGACCCCAUGGAGCUUUACUGCAGCUUAAUACUGGAAUUCGGUAACCCAUGUACAGGAUAGGUGGGAGGCUUGGAAGCAGGGGCGUCAGCUCUUGUGGAGCCGCCGGUGGGAUACCACUCUUGGAUUGCUGAAUUUCUAACCUGCGGCCGUGAAUCCGGUCGGGGGACACUGUUAGGCGGGCAGUUUGACUGGGGCGGUCGCCUCCUAAAGAGUAACGGAGGCGCUCAAAGGUUGGCUCAGCACGGACGGAAAUCGUGCAGUGAGUGUAAACGUAGAAGCCAGCCUAACUGCGAGACCGACGGGUCGAGCAGUAACGAAAGUUGGAGUUAGUGAUCCGGUGGUAUGUGAGUGGAAAUGCCAUCGCUCAACGGAUAAAAGCUACCCUGGGGAUAACAGGCUGAUCUCCCCCAAGCGUCCACAGCGACGGGGAGGUUUGGCACCUCGAUGUCGGCUCGUCACAUCCUGGGGCUGAAUUCGGUCCCAAGGGUUCGGCUGUUCGCCGAUUAAAGUGGCACGCGAGCUGGGUUCAGAACGUCGUGAGACAGUUCGGUCCCUAUCUGUUGCGGGCGGAAGAGAUUUGAAGGGAGCUGUCCUUAGUACGAGAGGACCGGGAUGGACGUACCUCUGGUGCACCAGUUGUCCUGCCAAGGGCAUAGCUGGGUAGCUAUGUACGGACGAGAUAAACGCUGAAAGCAUCUAAGCGUGAAACUCCCCCUAAGAUGAGAUCUCUCACCUCGAAAGAGGGUAAGGGCCCAGGAAGACUACCUGGU
rnacentral:rRNA from 1 species